rnacentral:snRNA from 1 species
AGCUUUGUGCAGUGGCAGUAUUGUAGCCAAUGAGGUUUAUCCGAGGCGCGAUUAUUGCUAAUUGGGAU